AUUGAACGCUGGCGGCAUGCCUUACACAUGCAAGUCGAACGGCAGCACGGGAGCUUGCUCCUGGUGGCGAGUGGCGAACGGGUGAGUAAUAUAUCGGAACGUGCCCUAGAGUGGGGGAUAACUAGUCGAAAGAUUAGCUAAUACCGCAUACGAUCUAUGGAUGAAAGUGGGGGAUCGCAAGACCUCAUG
rnacentral:rRNA from 1 species